rnacentral:tRNA from 1 species
CUUGGUAGCUCAGUUGGUAGAGCACUUGAUUGAAGCUCAAGGUGUCGGCAGUUUGAUUCUGUCCCAAGCCA